GGGUUUAUAGCUCAGUUGGACUAGAGCACGUGGCUACGAACUACGGUGUCGGGGGUUCGAAUCCCUCUUUGCCCG
rnacentral:tRNA from 1 species